rnacentral:tRNA from 1 species
CAGGAAAUAGUUUAAUUAGAAUAUCAGUUUUGGGUGCUGGUGGUGUGGCUGUCUGCUUCUUUCUUGA